rnacentral:rRNA from 1 species
UACGAAGGGGGCUAGCGUUGUUCGGAAUUACUGGGCGUAAAGCGUACGUAGGCGGCUUUUUAAGUCAGAGGUGAAAUCCCGGUGCUCAACACCGGAACUGCCCUUGAGACUGGAUCGCUUGAUCACGGGAGAGGUGAGUGGAAUUCCGAGUGUAGAGGUGAAAUCCGUAGAUAUCGGGAGGAACACCGGUGGCGAAGGCGGUUCUCUGGGAAUUACCUGACGCUGAGGAGCGAAAGCGUGGGGAGCGAACAGG